rnacentral:rRNA from 1 species
AGGGGAGCCGGAGGGAAACCGAGUCUUAAUUGGGCGUUAAGUUGCAGGGUAUAGACCCGAAACCCGGUGAUCUAGCCAUGGGCAGGUUGAAGGUUGGGUAACACUAACUGGAGGACCGAACCGACUAAUGUUGAAAAAUUAGCGGAUGACCUGUGGCUGGGGGUGAAAGGCCAAUCAAACCGGGAGAUAGCUGGUUCUCCCCGAAAGCUAUUUAGGUAGCGCCUCGUGAAUUCAUCUCCGGGGGUAGAGCACUGUUUCGGCUAGGGGGCCAUCCCGGCUUACCAACCCGAUGCAAACUGCGAAUACCGGAGAAUGUUAUCACGGGAGACACACGGCGGGUGCUAACGUCCGUCGUGAAGAGGGAAACAACCCAGACCGCCAGCUAAGGUCCCAAAGUCAUGGUUAAGUGGGAAACGAUGUGGGAAGGCCCAGACAGCCAGGAUGUUGGCUUAGAAGCAGCCAUCAUUUAAAGAAAGCGUAAUAGCUCACUGGUCGAGUCGGCCUGCGCGGAAGAUGUAACGGGGCUAAACCAUGCACCGAAGCUGCGGCAGCGACGCUUAUGCGUUGUUGGGUAGGGGAGCGUUCUGUAAGCCUGUGAAGGUGGCCUGUGAGGGUUGCUGGAGGUAUCAGAAGUGCGAAUGCUGACAUAAGUAACGAUAAAGCGGGUGAAAAGCCCGCUCGCCGGAAGACCAAGGGUUCCUGUCCAACGUU